rnacentral:rRNA from 1 species
CCUGAAUCCAGCAAUGCCGCGGUGAGGUGAAGAAGGCCUGCGGGUUCGUAAAGCUCUGUCUUGGGGGACGAACGGAAUUGCGGUACCUCAAAAGAAAGCCCCGGCUAACUACGUGCCAGCAGCCGCGGUAAAACGUAGGGGGCAAGCGUUGUCCGGAAUUACUGGGCGUAAAGGGCGUGCAGGCGGCCUGUGUAGUCAAGCGGUGAAAACCCGGGGCUUAACUUCGGGAUGGCCCUUGAAACCAACAGGCUUGAGGACAGGAGAGGGGAGUGGAAUUUCCG